rnacentral:tRNA from 1 species
UAAAAAAGUAGUUUAACUUAAGAACGAUAGGUUGUGGGGCUAUUAGUGGUGUCAACCCUUUUUUAGC